rnacentral:rRNA from 1 species
GACGAACGCUGGCGGCGUGCCUAGUACAUGCAAGUUGAGCGCUGAAGGUUGGUACUUCUACCGACUGGAUGAGCAGCGAACGGGUGAGUAACGCGUGGGGAAUCUGCCUUUGAGCGGGGGACAACAUUUGGAAACGAAUGCUAAUACCGCAUAAAAACUUUAAACACAAGUUUUAAGUUUGAAAGAUGCAAUUGCAUCACUCAAAGAUGAUCCCGCGUUGUAUUAGCUAGUUGGUGAGGUAAAGGCUCACCAAGGCGAUGAUACAUAGCCGACCUGAGAGGGUGAUCGGCCACAUUGGGACUGAGACACGGCCCAACCUCCUACGGGAGGCAGCAGUAGGGAAUCUUCGGCAAUGGACGAAAGUCUGACCGAGCAACGCCGCGUGAGUGAGGAAGGUUUUCGGAUCGUAAAACUCUGUUGGUAGAGAAGAACGUUGGUGAGAGUGGAAAGCUCAUCAAGUGACGGUAACUACCCAGAAAGGGACGGCUAACUACGUG